rnacentral:rRNA from 1 species
GCCUGCGACCACACCAUCCCGAAUAUGCCCAAUCUCAUCUGAUCUCAGAAGCUAAGCAGGUUCGGGCCUGGUCAGUACCUGGAUUCCGGUCAGUACCUGGAUGGGAGACUGCCUGGGAACACCGGGUGUUGUCGACU